UACGGGGGGGCAAGGCGUUGUUCGGAAUUACUGGCGUAAAGGGCUCGUAGGCGGCCAACUAAGUCAGACGUGAAAUCCCCAGGCUUAACCUGGGAACUGCGUCUGAUACUGGAUGGCUUGAAUUCGGGAGAGGGAUGCAGAAUUCCAGGUGUAGCGGUGAAAUGCGUAGAUAUCUGGAGGAAUACCGGUGGCGAAGGCGGCAUCCUGGACCGACAUUGACGCUGAUGAGCGAAAGCUAGGGGAGCAAACGGG
rnacentral:rRNA from 1 species